rnacentral:rRNA from 1 species
AUAUCAAUAAGCGGAGGAAAAGAAACCAACAGGGAUUGCCUCAGUAACGGCGAGUGAAGCGGCAACAGCUCAAAUUUGAAAUCUGGCCCCGCUGGGGGCCUGAGUUGUAAUUUGCAGAGGAUGCUUCGGGCAAGGCGGUGGUCUAAUCUGCUUGGAACAGCAAGUCGAAGAGGGUGAGAAUCCCGUCUAGGAUCGUCAGCCGCGUCCGUGUGAAGCUCCUUCGACGAGUCGAGUUGUUUGGGAAUGCAGCUCUAAAUGGGUGGUAAAUUUCAUCUAAAGCUAAAUAUGGGCCGGAGACCGAUAGCGCACAAGUAGAGUGAUCGAAAGAUGAAAAGCACUUUGAAAAGAGAGUUAAACAGUAUGUGAAAUUGUUGAAAGGGAAGCGCUUGCAACCAGACUUGUGACGGACGGUUCCCCCGACCUUCUGGCCGGGUUACUCCGUCACGUCCAGGCCAACAUCGGUUUGGGUGGUCGGUUAAAGACCCCGGGAAUGUAUCUACCUUCGGGUCGACUUAUAGCCCGGGGUGCAAUGCGGCCCACCCGGACCGAGGAACGCGCUCCGGCUCGGAUGUUGGCGUAAUGGUUGUAAGCGGCCCGUCUUGAAACACGGACCAAGGAGUCUAACAUCUGUGCGAGUGUUUGGGUGUGAAACCCCUACGCGGAAUGAAAGUGAACGGAGGUAAGAACCCCGUCAGGGGCGCAUUAUCGACCGAUCCUGGUGUCUUCGGAUGGAUUUGAGUAAGAGCAUAGCUGUUGGGACCCGAAAGAUGGUGAACUAUGCAUGAAUAGGGUGAAGCCAGAGGAAACUCUGGUGGAGGCUCGCAGCGGUUCUGACGUGCAAAUCGAUCGUCAAAUUUGUGCAUAGGGGCGAAAGACUAAUCGAACCAUCUGGUAGCUGGUUCCUGUCGAAGUUUCCCUCAGGAUAGCAGUAACGUUUUCAGUUUUAUGAGGUAAAGCGAAUGAUUAGAGGCCUUGGGGUUGCAACAACCUUAACCUAUUCUCAAACUUUAAAUAUGUAAGAAGUCCUUGUUGCUUAAUUGAACGUGGACAUUUGAAUGCAUCGUUACUAGUGGGCCAUUUUUGGUAAGCAGAACUGGCGAUGCGGGAUGAACCGAACGUGAGGUUAAGGUGCCGGAAUGCACGCUCAUCAGACACCACAAAAGGUGUCAAUGCAUCCAGACAGCCGGACGGUGGCCAUGGAAGUCGGAAUCCGCUUAGGAGUGUGUAACAACUCACCGGCCGAAUGCAUUGGCCCUGAAAAUGGAUGGCGCUUAAGCGUGCUACCUAUACCUCGCCGUUGGGGUUGAAAUGAUGCCCCAACGAGUAGGCAGGCGUGGGGGUUGGUGACGAAGCCUCGGGGGUGACCCCGGGUCGAACAACCUCUAGUGC